ACGAACGCUGGCGGCGUGGAUAAGACAUGCAAGUCGAACGAGAGAAUUGCUAGCUUGCUAAUAAUUCUCUAGUGGCGCACGGGUGAGUAACACGUGAGUAACCUGCCCCCGAGAGCGGGAUAGCCCUGGGAAACUGGGAUUAAUACCGCAUAGUAUCGAAAGAUUAAAGCAGCAAUGCGCUUGGGGAUGGGCUCGCGGCCUAUUAGUUAGUUGGUGAGGUAACGGCUCACCAAGGCGAUGACGGGUAGCCGGUCUGAGAGGAUGUCCGGCCACACUGGAACUGAGACACGGUCCAGACACCUACGGGUGGCAGCAGUCGAGAAUCAUUCACAAUGGGGGAAACCCUGAUGGUGCGACGCCGCGUGGGGGAAUGAAGGUCUUCGGAUUGUAAACCCCUGUCAUGUGGGAGCAAAUUAAAAAGAUAGUACCACAAGAGGAAGAGACGGCUAACUCUGUGCCAGCAGCCGCGGUAAUACAGAGGUCUCAAGCGUUGUUCGGAAUCACUGGGCGUAAAGCGUGCGUAGGCUGUUUCGUAAGUCGUGUGUGAAAGGCGCGGGCUCAACCCGCGGACGGCACAUGAUACUGCGAGACUAGAGUAAUGGAGGGGGAACCGGAAUUCUCGGUGUAGCAGUGAAAUGCGUAGAUAUCGAGAGGAACACUCGUGGCGAAGGCGGGUUCCUGGACAUUAACUGACGCUGAGGCACGAAGGCCAGGGGAGCGAAAGGGAUUAGAUACCCCUGUAGUCCUGGCAGUAAACGGUGCACGCUUGGUGUGCGGGGAAUCGACCCCCUGCGUGCCGGAGCUAACGCGUUAAGCGUGCCGCCUGGGGAGUACGGUCGCAAGAUUAAAACUCAAAGAAAUUGACGGGGACCCGCACAAGCGGUGGAGUAUGUGGCUUAAUUCGAUGCAACGCGAAGAACCUUACCUGGGCUUGACAUGUAAUGAACAACAUGUGAAAGCAUGCGACUCUUCGGAGGCGUUACACAGGUGCUGCAUGGCCGUCGUCAGCUCGUGUCGUGAGAUGUUUGGUUAAGUCCAGCAACGAGCGCAACCCCUGUUGCCAGUUACCAGCACGUGAAGGUGGGGACUCUGGCGAGACUGCCCAGAUCAACUGGGAGGAAGGUGGGGACGACGUCGGGUCAGUAUGGCCCUUAUGCCCAGGGCUGCACACGUACUACAAUGCCCAGUACAGAGGGGGCCGAAGCCGCGAGGCGGAGGAAAUCCUGAAAACUGGGCCCAGUUCGGACUGUAGGCUGCAACCCGCCUACACGAAGCCGGAAUCGCUAGUAAUGGCGCAUCAGCUACGGCGCCGUGAAUACGUUCCCGGGUCUUGUACACACCGCCCGUCACAUCAUGGAAGCCGGUCGCACCCGAAGUAUCUGAAGCCAACCGCAAGGAGGCAGGGUCCUAAGGUGAGACUGGUAACUGGGAUG
rnacentral:rRNA from 1 species